CGCCGGUGCCUCCGCGACGGUGAUCCGUGAACCCCGCCAGGCCCGGAAGGGAGCAACGGUAGCGGUGCUGCUGGGUGCCGGAGUGUCGCUGGCGCGG
rnacentral:SRP_RNA from 1 species